rnacentral:lncRNA from 1 species
UUUAUUCCAUUUACUAAGAUAAAAUAAAAAACGAGUUUCACUUGAUUAGUUUUAGCAAGUAGGAGAACUGUAAAUAAAUUAUUGAAUUUAAUAAAAUGUAUUAUCUUUAAAAAAAAAAAAAGCAUUAUCAAAUUUAACAAUUACCCAUGAGCACCAUCCUGUUCAUGUAAUCAUCCCUUUUUUUAGGCACCCCAUAAUCCAUCUCCAUCUUCAAGCUCUAAAAGCACCUUCUCCACAUCCCUGAACUUUCUCAUAACACCUCCACAUUCCAUGUCACAGCACUUCCCUCCAUCUCCAUCUCCAAGCUCCUUCCUCGAGCAAAUUAUUCUCACAACACCUUCAUGAAUUUGCUGGAACAUUUCAUAAACAAUGGUUUUGGCCCCUUACUAUAAAGCUAGAUCCCAAGAUAUGGUCACCUUGUGCUUGGAUUUGCAAGGAUGAAGAGAUACCACAGGGCCUUCAAGAAAGUCAUUUUCCAAAAGCUCCAUGUGAGUUUUGGGUGGGAAACACAUUCCAUAAUAUCUAAAUCCA